GAUCAUGGCUCAGAUUGAACGCUGGCGGCAGGCUUAACACAUGCAAGUCGAACGGUAACAUAAAGAAGCUUGCUUCUUUGAUGACGAGUGGCGGACUGGUGAGUAAUGCUUGGGAAUCUGGCUUAUGGGAGGGGGAUAACUACGGGAAACUGUAGCUAAUACCGCGUAGAAUCGAGAGAUGAAAGUGUGGGACCUCGGCCGACCACUGCCACUAGGAGUGAGCCAACGUAGGGAGUUAAGG
rnacentral:rRNA from 1 species